AAUGAUAUAAUCUGGACAUGAUAUAGAUGCUACAUACUGAAAUAUCUGAAUGCAUGGACCAAAUUCAUAACAUGGUAAAAUUGAAAUACUGACUGUACUGAAAUGGUCAAUGCAAUAGAGUUUUGACUGAACCGUGGGAGCUAUUAAUAACCGAAAAUGAAACCACAUGAGCUAAAUAUGGAGUCCGAUGUAUACGCCACAUCAAGAGGACCCAAUAUACCCGCC
rnacentral:lncRNA from 1 species